GAUGAACGCUGGCGGCGUGCCUAAUACAUGCAAGUCGAGCGAACGGACGAGAAGCUUGCUUCACUGAUGUUAGCGGCGGACGGGUGAGUAACACGUGGAUAACCUACCUAUAAGACUGGGAUAACUUCGGGAAACCGGAGCUAAUACCGGAUGAUAUUUUGAACCGCAUGGUUCAAAAGUGAAAGACGGUCUUGCUGUCACUUAUAGAUGGAUCCGCGCUGCAUUAGCUAGUUGGUAAGGUAACGGCUUACCAAGGCAACGAUGCAUAGCCGACCUGAGAGGGUGAUCGGCCACACUGGAACUGAGACACGGUCCAGACUCCUACGGGAGGCAGCAGUAGGGAAUCUUCCGCAAUGGGCGAAAGCCUGACGGAGCAACGCCGCGUGAGUGAUGAAGGUCUUCGGAUCGUAAAACUCUGUUAUUAGGGAAGAACAUAUGUGUAAGUAACUGUGCACAUCUUGACGGUACCUAAUCAGAAAGCCACGGCUAACUACGUG
rnacentral:rRNA from 1 species